UACAGAGGGUGCGAGCGUUACUCGGAAUUACUGGGCGUAAAGCGUGCGUAGACGGUUAUUUAAGUCGGGUGUGAAAGCCCCGGGCUCAACCUGGGAAUUGCAUUCGAGACUGAAUAGCUGGGGUACGGUAGAGGGAAGCGGAAUUUCCGGUGUAGCGGUGAAAUGCGUAGAUAUCGGAAGGAACAUGAGUGGCGAAAGCGGCUUCCUGGACCAGUACCGACGUUCAGGCACGAAAGCGUGGGGAGCAAACAGG
rnacentral:rRNA from 1 species